rnacentral:rRNA from 1 species
UACGUAGGGCGCAAGCGUUGUCCGGAAUUAUUGGGCGUAAAGAGCGCGUAGGCGGUCCGGUAAGUCGGCUGUGAAAGUCAAGGGCUCAACCCUUGAAAGCCGGCCGAUACUGUCGGACUAGAGUCCGGAAGAGGCGAGUGGAAUUCCCGGUGUAGCGGUGAAAUGGCGCAGAUAUCGGGAGGAACACCAAUGGCGAAGGCAGCUCGCUGGGGACGGUACUGACGGCUGAGGCGCGAAAGCGUGGGGGAGCAAACAGGGAUUAAGCAUACCCCGGG